rnacentral:rRNA from 1 species
GAAUUCACUAGUGAUUAAGUCCUCAUGGCCUUUAUAUCCAGGGCUACACACGUGCUACAAUGGUCCGUACAAAGGGUAGCGAGCCUGCGAGGGUAAGCCAAUCCCGGAAAGCGGAUCUCAGUUCGGAUUGGAGUCUGCAACUCGACUCCAUGAAGUUGGAAUCGCUAGUAAUCGUGGAUCAGCAUGCCACGGUGAAUACGUUCCCGGGCCUUGUACACACCGCCCGUCACACCAUGAGAGUUGGUUGUACCAGAAGUCGUCGGACCAACCCCGCCUUGGCGGGGGGGUAGGCGCCUAAGGUAUGGCUGAUGAUUGGGGUGAAGUCGUAACAAGGUAACCGUA